UACGGGGGGGAGCAAGCGUUGUUCGGAUUUACUGGGCGUAAAGGGCGCGUAGGCGGUUGGAUAAGUCAGCUGUGAAAACCACGGGCUUAACUCGUGGCCUGCAGUUGAGACUGUCUGGCUUGAGUGUGGGAGAGGAGAGUGGAAUUCCUGGUGUAGCGGUGAAAUGCGCAGAUAUCAGGAGGAACACCGGUGGCGAAGGCGCUCUGCUAGGCCGUAACUGACACUGAGGGACGAAAGCUAGGGGAGCGAAUGGG
rnacentral:rRNA from 1 species